rnacentral:rRNA from 1 species
AUUGAACGCUGGCGGCAUGCUUUACACAUGCAAGUCGAGCGGCAGCGGGGGCUUCGGCCUGCCGGCGAGCGGCGAACGGGUGAGUAAUGCAUCGGAACGUACCCAGUGGCGGGGGAUAGCUCGGCGAAAGCCGGAUUAAUACCGCAUACGCCCUGAGGGGGAAAGUGGGGGAUCUUCGGACCUCACACCAUUGGAGCGGCCGAUGUCGGAUUAGCUAGUUGGUGGGGUAAAGGCUCACCAAGGCGACGAUCCGUAGCUGGUCUGAGAGGAUGAUCAGCCACACUGGGACUGAGACACGGCCCAGACUCCUACGGGAGGCAGCAGUGGGGAAUUUUGGACAAUGGGCGCAAGCCUGAUCCAGCCAUGCCGCGUGAGUGAAGAAGGCCUUCGGGUUGUAAAGCUCUUUCAGUCGGGAAGAAAAGGCGUUCUCUAACAUAGGGCGUCGAUGACGGUACCGACAGAAGAAGCACCGGCUAACUACGUG